rnacentral:rRNA from 1 species
GGGUCAGUAGGUUGGUCGUGCCACCGGUACGUACUGGUCUCACUGAUUCCUCCUUCCUGAAUAACCGUAAUGCCAUUAAUUUGGUGUUGCGGGGAAACAGGACUGUUACUUUGAAAAAAUUAGAGUGUUUAAUGCAAGCUAACGCUUGAAUACAUUAGCAUGGAAUAAUGAAAUAGGACGAUCGAUCCUAUUUUGUUGGUUUCUAGGAUUGACGUA